rnacentral:rRNA from 1 species
GAUGAACGCUAGCUACAGGCUUAACACAUGCAAGUCGAGGGGCAGCGGGAUUGAAGCUUGCUUCAAUUGCCGGCGACCGGCGCACGGGUGAGUAACGCGUAUCCAACCUUCCGUACACUCAGGGAUAGCCUUUCGAAAGAAAGAUUAAUACCUGAUGGUAUGAUGAGAUCGCAUGGUAUCAUCAUUAAAGAUUUAUCGGUGUACGAUGGGGAUGCGUUCCAUUAGGUAGUAGGCGGGGUAACGGCCCACCUAGCCUACGAUGGAUAGGGGUUCUGAGAGGAAGGUCCCCCACAUUGGAACUGAGACACGGUCCAAACUCCUACGGGAGGCAGCAGUGAGAAAUAUUGGUCAAUGGACGAGAGUCUGAACCAGCCAAGUAGCGUGAAGGAUGAAGGUCCUACGGAUUGUAAACUUCUUUAUAAGGGAAUAAAACCUCCACGUGUGGGAGCUUGUAUGUACCUUAUGAAUAAGCAUCGGCUAACUCCGUGCCAGCAGCCG